CAGAUCUUGAUAAUGAGCUGAUCAUUUGAAUCAGGUGUGUUGGAGCAGAGAAACAUCCAUAACAUGCAGGACAGUGGGCCUCAAGGACUGGACUUGAGAACCACUGCUCUAUAGACAAAUAUCUGCAUGAGGGUGAGUUAACAAGAUCAGACACUGACAUGGGAGUGAAAAAUCUGCUUGAUACUGAGUCACUAGAGCCUGUUAGCAUUUAGAUUUCCUGACUCCCCUGAAUCUGUCAGUACUAAUGAUAAUUUAGUGCUUACAUUUUACAUUUAGACAUUUAUACCAGCUUGUGAUUGAGUUGAAGCUCUGAGGGCGGAGACAGAAAUUCCUUUACAGCAGUUUUACCAGACUGACUCUCCUUAAAGUGUGAAAUAAAGUUUUCUUCUCGAUCCUGAAGGUGGGCCUGUGUUUGAUGGACAGAACUUUGUUUGCUUUAUAAAACUAUUAUUCACUCAACUCAUCAUCAUGGACGUUUAUAAGUGCCUGUCUGCCUCGGUUUGUGUCAUCACAGAGUGAAAGUCAUCAUCAGUCAUGAUAAUGAACAUUUCCCUCUCACGGUGGUCCUAAGAGAACUCUUUUUAUGUUUCUUUGGAGGUCUGGAUCUUUAUGACACCAUUCUGCACUGCUAGUUAACCCUGAAAUGACCACAGUAACUGCUGGACUGAAGCUUGGAUCCUGUAAAACUUUGAGUUUAACCCAUUACCAUACCUGCAGAGGUGAGUAGUUCACAUUCUUCAUACUGGGCUGGACACCGUUACGGUUUAUCCUGAAGUUGCCUCUGAACUCAGCAGCUCAUCAUGAUGCAAUGUGAGCCAACAUGUUUAAAACAAACCUUCACACAUCCAUCACACGCCUCUGAGGGCCCCUGAGCGCAGUGUUGGACUGGCCAUGUGAAGCUGUCAGGCCUGCCACAGUCUGAAGCGCCACAGGGAGCUUACACUGAUGAUCCACAUGACAAGUUCAAGACAACUUCAUACCGGUGAGCUCGUCUUUGUAAGUGUCUUCAAAGGCUGGUACUGUAACAUUCUGUACAAUGCAGGAUGUGAGAGUUUGAAGAUACAGUCAAACAAAGAAUAACAGCAUGAGGGCUUGUACUUUUUUUUUUUUUUUUUACAUCAUGAGACUUAGAUAAUAACUUCGAACUGUGAUGGUGCACAGCUGACGGCAACAUGAUUGUGCAGCUUGACUAAUGUGUAAUCAAUUAAGUCUUGCUCCCAAAAUUCUGACUCAAGGUAUGGAGAGAUGGCGCCAAGGCUACACAUUUUUAAAGUGGUUGUAUUUUUGCAAACUGAGAAGAACUAUUCCAUAUUUUAAGUGAUUUAAUGGGUCAGGUGUCAAAGGAAGACACAUCUGUGUGUCACCAGUAUAACAAUGAAAAGGAAUAUUCAUUGUGUCGCUGAGUUAUUUGGCUGAGAGGCAGCAUUUAAAUAGAAAAUAAAAUGGGACCUAAAACUGUGCCAUGGGGUACUCCACAUGGGAUGUAAGGAGCCCAGGAAAACUGGAGGGCUGGUCCCCUGGAGUGUGCUCACUCUUUGUGAGUAUAAAUUGCUCCCUGUCUCUCUCUCUCUCCUUGUCUCAAAAUCUAAAUCCAUGAAACAACAGCAGAUGAUAUCUUUAUUGCACGCGCUGUGCUGCUUGACAGUUUGUCUUACAGCAAUUCAUCACAAGCAAAGUUAUGUUGGAGUUUAUUUUCAACCAUUGUUGAGUUUUUACCAAUUAAAUGAUCAACAUUUUGAUUUUAGCCAUGAUAGACAUUAUCUUUGUAUAGAUGACAAAUAAACAGCCAGCAGACAUAGAAGUUCUGACUAUUGCUGCACAGAACUUUGUAAGUGUAGGAGCAGCUGCCUUUUGCACACAAUUUUAUCUUCAGUUGUUACCUUUAUUUGCAGGCUCAAUGUCAUUAAAAUAUACUUAAUGACACAAAAUUAUAAAGGUAAUGGUUACACUUGAGCUCAUAGGCACAACAUUUGACAUUAGGGUCCAAAUCGUUGUCCCCAUGAACUCCUCCCUCUGUUUCCACACAACGUGAACCUGGUGCCCCUUUAAUAUUUCCCUGCCCCUGCCCUCAGACAGUCUGAGUCUACUCCUGCUUCUGUCAACUUUACCAGAUUACUGCAGAUCUCACAUAGUCAUUUUGUCUCCAAGUAUAUUUUCUUUAUUAAUUUCUGGAUUACUGGAGAACAUGUGGGAGCUGUGGUUCUGUUAGUGUUCCACAGGGCUGGGCUCUGCUUGUGUCCAGAAGUGUCUGGGCGUGCAGCCGUGUGCUGUUUAAAGCCUGUUGGUCUUAUGAAAAUAUGUUGACCUGCGGCAGGAAGCGCCCUGUAAACUGCCAGUCUGGUACUGGCGUUGUUGCUGCCUGGCUGUGUUGUUUUACACAGAGCUGUCUGCAGACAGUGUGCCACAGCAAACACCAGCACCAGUCUCUUCCCAUACAGUAUCAGCAGCCAGGCCUGGUGUCAAUCCAGCACACUGCCUCUCUGUAUACAUGCAGCAUGUGUCAAAUAAACAAGUUUCCAAAAUGUUUUUACCUGCAUUUGAGACCUGAAGGAAUUCAUUGGCAGUGAGUGAAGAACAAUGGGCAAUGAUUAUUUUCUUUCCUGCAAAAAGGUGCAUUCAGGGCCUGUUGAGCUUUUUUGGGUGCAAAGUAAUCGCAUCAGAAAUGUACAUUUUUUUUUACAGUUUUAAUACAGAAUAUUGUGAUGUAAGGCUAAGUAUGACAGUUGGCUGUGAACCUUGAAAGCAGCAGAGGAAAAGGUUGACCUUGUUUUGUAGCUUUUAACCAUCAAACUUUCCCCAUUGACGUUUAUUUAUAAAAUAUAAUUGAAACCUCUAAAAAUGUGUCUGUUAUUUUUAGAGAGUUAACCGUUAUCUGGAGGAGUUCAACAAUGGAAGCAACCCACUGUUUCAACAGGUUCAAACAAGCUGUUCAAACAUUAAAAGGAUCUUUGCUUAUAGAGCCUUAAUUCUAGUUUCCAUUUAAAAUAUUCAGGCUGACUUAAUUUAGUGAUUUUAAAUACAAGAAUAUAUAAGAAUAAAAGUGUGUAAUUGCAGAGAAUGAAGACAUUGCUUUGACAGCAUGUGUUAGACAGAGUUUGUGUGUGUGAAGGUGGAGCAGAUGUCCUUUCUAAUACAGGAAUGACAGACUGCACAGUGUCCAACAAAGAAAGUUCAUGUUUUUGAUCCUUCAAGAAUAAAAGGGAGAAGUUUAGCAGAGGCAUGGUUUCACAAAGAAAGAUACUCCAAUGUUCGAACCAUUAAUACAAUGAACAAUGAGAAAAACUAUGUUCAGCAGAGAUCGACUCUGAGGCAUUUAUGUUAUUUACUCAAGAAGCUCUGGUCUGCUGGUAUCAGAGGAGCAAAACUGAGUUGAAUACGAGAAUGAAACAGCUCUUUCUUUGUCUCUUUAAAUUGUUGCUGUUUUCUGUUUCCUGCUUUCUUAAAAGUCCAUACAGGCCGGAUAUCCACAUGCAGCACAGGGCAACUGAAAUGAAUGAAACUAUGUUUGACAUAUCACAAUGAACCAUUAAGAACAGGUAAGCAAGUAGACUGCUUAGCACCUGCCCACAGCACCAAAACUACUCCCAAAUGGUUUGCUCACCCCAAACAUAAGGCCGUCUCAAUAACUCUUAGUAUUAUUACUUAAAAUAAUAUGAUCACUGAAUAAAAAAAAAACUCCAUCAAAUUAGUUAAAUGUAAAUGUUAGCAUUUUUUCAGAGAACCUGGUUUUAACAUCUACUUGUAUCUGUUAACAUUGCAGACCUGCCCUAUGUAAUAUGGCCGACGCACUGAUGUACUUCAGCAGAGGGAGAACAAGCUGAUGUAGCACCAAUGUUAAUAUGUUUGUGGCUCAUAUAAUGUAAAAAAGGUGGUAACUGUAAGUUGGAGCGUCACUGUUUUUUCUCUCUCUCUUUCUGUUUUUAACGCUUUAGACAAUGUUCCAAAUA